rnacentral:rRNA from 1 species
CAAUAGCGUAUAUUAAAGUUGUUGCAGUUAAAAAGCUCGUAGUUGGAUUUGUGGCGUACGGUGUGUUCCGGGCACUUGUUGUCUGAGUAACCUGCUGUUGCCAUCCUUGGGUGGAGCCUGUGUGGCAUUAGGUUGUCGUGCAGGGGAUGCCCAUCAUUUACUGUGAAAAAAUUAGAGUGUUCAAAGCAGGCUUAUGCCGUUGAAUAUAUUAGCAUGGAAUAAUGAGAUAGGACUUUCUUGCUAUUUUGUUGGUUUGCGCAAAGAGGUAAUGAUUAAUAGGGACAGUUGGGGGUAUUCGUAUUCCAUUGUCAGAGGUGAAAUUCUUGGAUUUUUGGAAGACGAACUACUGCGAAAGCAUUUACCAAGGAUGUUUUCAUUAA